rnacentral:rRNA from 1 species
GAUGAACGCUGGCGGCGUGCCUAAUACAUGCAAGUCGAGCGAACAGAUAAGGAGCUUGCUCCUUUGACGUUAGCGGCGGACGGGUGAGUAACACGUGGGUAACCUAUCUAUAAGACUGGAAUAACUCCGGGAAACCGGGGCUAAUGCCGGAUAACAUGUUGAACCGCAUGGUUCUACAGUGAAAGGCGGCUUUGCUGUCACUUAUAGAUGGACCCGCGCCGUAUUAGCUAGUUGGUGAGGUAACGGCUCACCAAGGCAACGAUACGUAGCCGACCUGAGAGGGUGAUCGGCCACACUGGAACUGAGACACGGUCCAGACUCCUACGGGAGGCAGCAGUAGGGAAUCUUCCGCAAAGGGCGAAAGCCUGACGGAGCAACGCCGCGUGAGUGAUGAAGGUCUUCGGAUCGUAAAACUCUGUUAUUAGGGAAGAACAAAUGCGUAAGUAACUGUGCGCGUCUUGACGGUACCUAAUCAGAAAGCCACGGCUAACUACGUG